CCUACGGGUGGCAGCAGUGGGGAAUAUUGCACAAUGGGCGCAAGCCUGAUGCAGCCAUGCCGCGUGUGUGAAGAAGGCCUUCGGGUUGUAAAGCACUUUCAGCGGGGAGGAAGGCGGUGAGGUUAAUAACCUCAUCGAUUGACGUUACCCGCAGAAGAAGCACCGGCUAACUCCGUGCCAGCAGCCGCGGUAAUACGGAGGGUGCAAGCGUUAAUCGGAAUUACUGGGCGUAAAGCACACGCAGGCGGUCUGUCAAGUCGGAUGUGAAAUCCCCGGGCUCAACCUGGGAACUGCAUUCGAAACUGGCAGGCUAGAGUCUUGUAGAGGGGGGUAGAAUUCCAGGUGUAGCGGUGAAAUGCGUAGAGAUCUGGAGGAAUACCGGUGGCGAAGGCGGCCCCCUGGACAAAGACUGACGCUCAGGUGCGAAAGCGUGGGGAGCAAACAGGAUUAGAUACCCCGGUAGUC
rnacentral:rRNA from 1 species